ensembl:snRNA U6 U6 spliceosomal RNA
CUGCUCGUUUCGGCAGCACAUAUACUAAAAUUGGAAUGAAACAGAGAAGAUUAGCAUGGCCCCUGCACAAGGAUGACAUGCAAAUUCGUGAAGUGUUUGUAUUUUUG